UAUUGGACAAUGGGCGAAAGCCUGAUCCAGCAAUGCCGCGUGUGUGAAGAAGGUCUUCGGAUUGUAAAGCACUUUUGGCAGGGACGAUGAUGACGGUACCUGCAGAAUAAGCCCCGGCUAACUUCGUGCCAGCAGCCGCGGUAAUACGAAGGGGGCUAGCGUUGCUCGGAAUGACUGGGCGUAAAGGGCGCGUAGGCGGCAUGUACAGUCAGAAGUGAAAUUCCUGGGCUCAACCUGGGGACUGCUUUUGAUACGUGCAGGCUAGAGUGAGGAAGAGGGUUGUGGAAUUUCCAGUGUAGAGGUGAAAUUCGUAGAUAUUGGAAAGAACACCGGUGGCGAAGGCGGCAACCUGGUCCUUACUGACGCUGAGCGCAAA
rnacentral:rRNA from 1 species